rnacentral:tRNA from 1 species
GGCCGGUUAGCUCAGUCAGUUGAGCAUGGCGCUAACAACGCCAAGGUCACAGGUUCGAUUCCCGUUUGGUCCC